rnacentral:rRNA from 1 species
GAAUUCGCCCUUAGAGUUUGAUCCUGGCUCAGGACGAACGCUGGCGGCGCGCCUAACACAUGCAAGUCGAACGAGCGAGAGAGAGCUUGCUUUCUCGAGCGAGUGGCGAACGGGUGAGUAACGCGUGAGGAACCUGCCUCAAAGAGGGGGACAACAGUUGGAAACGACUGCUAAUACCGCAUAAGCCCACGGGUCGGCAUCGACCAGAGGGAAAAGGAGCAAUCCGCUUUGAGAUGGCCUCGCGUCCGAUUAGCUAGUUGGUGAGGUAACGGCCCACCAAGGCAACGAUCGGUAGCCGGACUGAGAGGUUGAACGGCCACAUUGGGACUGAGACACGGCCCAGACUCCUACGGGAGGCAGCAGUGGGGAAUAUUGCACAAUGGGGGAAACCCUGAUGCAGCGACGCCGCGUGGAGGAAGAAGGUCUUCGGAUUGUAAACUCCUGUUGUUGAGGAAGAUAAUGACGGUACUCAACAAGGAAGUGACGGCUAACUACGUGCCAGCAGCCGCGGUAAAACGUAGGUCACAAGCGUUGUCCGGAAUUACUGGGUGUAAAGGGAGCGCAGGCGGGAAGACAAGUUGGAAGUGAAAUCCAUGGGCUCAACCCAUGAACUGCUUUCAAAACUGUUUUUCUUGAGUAGUGCAGAGGUAGGCGGAAUUCCCGGUGUAGCGGUGGAAUGCGUAGAUAUCGGGAGGAACACCAGUGGCGAAGGCGGCCUACUGGGCACCAACUGACGCUGAGGCUCGAAAGUGUGGGUAGCAAACAGGAUUAGAUACCCUGGUAGUCCAUACCGUAAACGAUGAUUACUAGGUGUUGGAGGAUUGACCCCUUCAGUGCCGCAGUUAACACAAUAAGUAAUCCACCUGGGGAGUACGACCGCAAGGUUGAAACUCAAAGGAAUUGACGGGGGCCCGCACAAGCAGUGGAGUAUGUGGUUUAAUUCGACGCAACGCGAAGAACCUUACCAAGUCUUGACAUCCCUUGACGAUGCUGGAAACAGUAUUUCUCUUCGGAGCAAGGAGACAGGUGGUGCAUGGUUGUCGUCAGCUCGUGUCGUGAGAUGUUGGGUUAAGUCCCGCAACGAGCGCAACCCUUAUGGUCAGUUACUACGCAAGAGGACUCUGGCCAGACUGCCGUUGACAAAACGGAGGAAGGUGGGGAUGACGUCAAAUCAUCAUGCCCUUUAUGACUUGGGCUACACACGUACUACAAUGGCGUUAAACAAAGAGAAGCAAGACCGCGAGGUGGAGCAAAACUCAGAAACAACGUCCCAGUUCGGACUGCAGGCUGCAACUCGCCUGCACGAAGUCGGAAUUGCUAGUAAUCGUGGAUCAGCAUGCCACGGUGAAUACGUUCCCGGGCCUUGCACUCACCGCCCGUCA